rnacentral:rRNA from 1 species
UACGAAGGGGGCUAGCGUUGUUCGGAUUUACUGGGCGUAAAGCGCGCGUAGGCGGGUUGGUAAGUCCGCUGUGAAAGCCCGGAGCUUAACUCCGGAGGGUCGGUGGAUACUGCCAGUCUUGAAGGUGCUAGGGGGAGAUGGAAUUACCGGUGUAGCGGUGAAAUGCGUAGAUAUCGGUAGGAACACCAGUGGCGAAGGCGGUCUCCUGGGGCAUUCUUGACGCUGAGGCGCGAAAGCUGGGGGAGCAAACGGG